GAUGAACGCUGGCGGCGUGCCUAAUACAUGCAAGUCGAGCGAACGGACGAGAAGCUUGCUUCUCUGAUGUUAGCGGCGGACGGGUGAGUAACACGUGGAUAACCUACCUAUAAGACUGGGAUAACUUCGGGAAACCGGAGCUAACACCGGAUAAUAUUUUGAACCGCAUGGUUCAAAGUGAAAGACGGUCUUGCUGUCACUUAUAGAUGGAUCCGCGCUGCAUUAGCUAGUUGGUAAGGUAACGGCUUACCAAGGCAACGAUGCAUAGCCGACCUGAGAGGGUGAUCGGCCACACUGGAACUGAGACACGGUCCAGACUCCUACGGGAGGCAGCAGUAGGGAAUCUUCCGCAAUGGGCGAAAGCCUGACGGAGCAACGCCGCGUGAGUGAUGAAGGUCUUCGGAUCGUAAAACUCUGUUAUUAGGGAAGAACAUAUGUGUAAGUAACUGUGCACAUCUUGACGGUACCUAAUCAGAAAGCCACGGCUAACUACGUG
rnacentral:rRNA from 1 species